UGCUGAGCUUUCCUGGCGGGCGAGCAGGUCCUCGACACCGGCGCCUGGCGGAGCGCGGGGAGGAGGGAGGUUUUGGUGUCAGCGGUGUAGUUGACGGCAGUCCCGGCCAUGGAAGAGACGCAGCCGCUUCCGCAGUCCGAGCUGCCACUGUGCGACAGCCUUAUCAUCUGGCUGCAGACAUUCAAUACUGCUGCACCUUGUCAGGAUGUGAAACAGCUGACUAAUGGAGUUGCCAUGGCACAAGUUCUUCAUCAAAUUGAUGUAGCUUGGUUCAAUGAAUCUUGGUUAAGCCGAAUUAAAGAGGAUAUUGGUGACAACUGGCGAAUAAAGGCUAGUAAUUUAAAGAAGGUACUUCAAGGAAUUAUGGGUUAUUAUAAUGAGUUUUUGGGACAACAGAUUUCUGAAGAACUUAUUCCUGAUUUAAACCAAAUAACUGAAUGUUCAGAUUCUAUGGAGCUUGGGAGGUUGCUCCAGCUUAUUUUAGGUUGUGCUGUCAACUGUGAAAAGAAGCAAGAACAUAUUCAAAAUAUAAUGACACUGGAAGAGUCUGUUCAACAUGUGGUCAUGACUGCUAUUCAAGAGUUGAUGAGUAAAGAAAUAGUGAGCUCUCCUACAAAUGAUGCUGUUGGAGAAUUAGAGCAACAGCUUAAAAGGGCCCUGGAAGAACUUCAGGAAGCACUAGCAGAAAAAGAAGAACUGAGGCAAAGAUGCCAAGAACUAGAUAUGCAGGUGACAGCACUUCAAGAUGAAAAGAAUUCGCUGGUUUCUGAGAAUGAGAUGAUGAAUGAAAAACUUGACCAGUUGGAUGGCUCUUUUGAUGAUCCAAAUACAAUGGUUGCAAAAAAGUAUUUUCAUGCACAGUUGCAACUAGAACAAUUACAGGAAGAAAACUUCAGGCUCGAAGCUGCAAAAGAUGAUUACCGUGUUCACUGUGAAGAACUUGAAAAGCAAUUAAUUGAAUUUCAACAUAGGAAUGAUGAAUUGACUAGUCUUGCUGAGGAAACAAGAGCCCUGAAAGAUGAAAUAGAUGUUCUUAGGGCUACCUCUGAUAAAGCUAAUAAACUGGAGUCAACAGUUGAGAUAUAUCGUCAGAAGCUACAAGAUCUGAAUGACCUUCGCAAGCAGGUGAAAACUUUACAGGAAACAAACAUGAUGUAUAUGCAUAAUACAGUCAGCUUAGAAGAAGAAUUAAAGAAGGCAAAUGCAGCACGUACACAGUUAGAAACAUACAAGAGACAGGUUCAGGAUCUUCAUGUUAAACUUUCCUCUGAAUCCAAAAGGGCGGACACACUAGCAUUUGAAAUGAAGCGGCUUGAAGAAAAACACGAAGCUUUACUUAAGGAAAAAGAGAGACUAAUAGAACAACUUGAUACUCUGAAAGAAACAAAUGAAGAGCUUCGAUGUUCACAAGUACAACAGGAUCACCUAAACCAAACAGAUUCAUCUGCUACAAAAAGCUAUGAGAAUCUUGCUGCUGAGAUUAUGCCAGUGGAAUAUAGGGAGGUGUUUAUUCGACUGCAACAUGAAAAUAAGAUGCUUCGAUUACAGCAGGAAGGUACUGAGAACGAACGUAUUGAAGAACUUCAGGAACAGCUGGAACAGAAGCACCGCAAGAUGAAUGAAUUGGAAACUGAGCAGAGGCUGAACAAAGAACAAAUUCGAGAAUUGCAGCAGCAGAUUGAGGACCUCCAGAAGUCUUUGCAAGAACAAGGCUCCAAGUCUGAAGGAGAAAGUUCCAGCAAACUAAAGCAGAAGUUGGAAGCUCAUAUGGAAAAACUAACGGAGGUCCAUGAAGAAUUACAGAAGAAACAAGAGCUCAUUGAAGACCUCCAGCCAGACGUAAACCAGAAUGUACAAAAGAUCAAUGAACUUGAAGCUGCUCUUCAGAAGAAAGAUGAAGAUAUGAAAGCAAUGGAGGAAAGAUACAAAAUGUACUUAGAGAAAGCAAGAAAUGUAAUAAAAACUUUAGACCCCAAAUUAAAUCCAGCAUCAGCUGAAAUAAUGCUACUUAGAAAGCAGUUGGCAGAGAAAGAGAGAAGAAUUGAGAUUCUGGAGAGUGAAUGUAAAGUAGCAAAAUUCCGUGAUUAUGAAGAAAAACUCAUUGUUUCUGCCUGGUAUAAUAAGGUGAGUUGAAAUUUAGCCAGUGAAUCAAUGUUUAGAACAGUGUUUAUCAAACAUUUUGACCAUGAACCACAGAAGGAAAUAUACUUUAUACCACAAAUUAGUAUGUGUUCAUGUUUAUGUAUAACUGAACAAAGUUACCUUGACUGUGUGUGUUGCACUCAGGCGUUUUCUAUUAUAUUCUUUUGUUUUUUUUUAAAUGUUCAUAAUCCAAAUUUUAUAUUUUAAUAUUUUUAGUUGAUUUUGACUUUUUCAAAACCUCUAAAUUGAUUUCAUGACUCACCAACCUUUAAGUUAAUGCACAUGAAGCACUCAUACACCCCUUAAACAUUUUAAAAAUUGCCUUAUUUGAGCUAAAACAUUUAAUUUGUGUUUCAUAAAGGGUUUCUGUAGAAAUACGAAUAUCUGUAUAAUGCAAAAUUAGGUGCUUCUAGUACUCAGCAUGUAUUUUAACAUCCCUAAAGCCUCUCAGUGUAUCCUUUGUUGUAUUUUCUUUUUUUUAUCCAGAGACUGCUCUUUAAGAAUUGUCUAUCUGUCCUAACACAGAGAAAAUAGUAUAAAAUAAUUUGAUAUAUUUUAUUUUGUCAUCCUUAGUAUGGUGGGAUGUUUUCAAAAGUAGCAUUUCCUGAUAUAUAUGGUUCUUUUGAGUAUUCUAAUCAGCUAGCAUAGAUAAUAACAGCCAUUAUCUACCUUAGCUGCCAUUUAUUUAGUAUGAGAGAAUAUCAGUUUAUAGACUCUCCACAUGUGAAGCCUGUGCUUCACCAUGAAGAACUGGUUCUCCAUCCUCAAACAUGCCUUUUUCUUUCAUGUCAUCAUACUUUUUGUUUUCUCCCUCCCUUCUCUGUUUGGUGAAAUCUGGCUUAAUUUAGCAAGGCCUUGAAGGAGAUUGUGUGAGGUGUCCCCAGAACCUUCCUUCAUGGGUUAGCCAUCCUGGUUACGAUUAGGGACAAUGUAUUCUUUUCCUUGUUGUUCUGUGGCCUCUUGAAACAUAAAUCAUCAAAGAUAUUAGAGCCAAAUAAUGCAUUAUUUAAUCAUUUUUCAACCCAUAUUUUUUGAGCAUUUACAAUAUUGUUGUCUAUUGUACUAGUUACCAGUGAAGCUAAGUUUAGUAAAAUUGCUUUAUGUGAUCUAGUGAGAGAGUAGUGACUUCUUCCCUUAGUAAGAAACCCAAUAGCCACAACUACAAUAAUUUGUCAUGUACUGAUAUAUAGCUAGACCAUAGUAAAUUUGAACUAUUCUGUGAUUCUCAAACUUUAGCAUGCUUCAGAAGACUUGUUAAAACACAAGCUAUGGGACUUACCUGCAGAGCUUCUUAUUCAGUAGUUCUGGGUAGAAUCCACAGGUAUAAUUUGCACUUUUAAAUUCCCAGUUGUACAAACGUUAAUCCAGGGACCACACUUCAAGAACCAUUGGUCUUAGGCUUUUCUCUUGUGCUGUGUCUGCUCAUAAUGGCUGGAGUAAUGGCCCCAACACAAAGAUUUGCCUUGGGACUUUUUUCUGUUGUUAUAAUUAAGCUUAAUUCUAGAGCAUUAUUUUAAGCUACUAUUUUUAACAAUUUCAAAUUUAAUGGGUCAAAAUAGAGAAACAGGGAUUUACACCUUUUUUUUUCUCCUUUCUUACUGGCAUUAUCACAUGCAGUGUAGCUCCUGAACCCUUAAUUUUUUCUAUAACAAUGAGGAAACCACCAGCUUUAUAGAAUUGCUUUGAGGAUUAAAUGACUUUGUAUAUGUGGAAAGCACUUUUCAAACUCUGCAUAGUCAUGUUAUGUGUUUAUUUUUGUUCAGAGUCUAGCAUUCCAGAAGUUAGGGAUGGAAUCUAGACUCGUGCGUGGCAGUGGCGCUUACAAAGACACGGCGGCUUGUGCCCCUGCCCGG